rnacentral:tRNA from 1 species
GCGGGCGUGGCGGAAUGGUAGACGCAUGGCACUUAAAAUGCUUGGGGCUGAUGCCCGUGGGGGUUCGAGUCCCCCCGCCCGUACCA